AUCUGUGGUUUUCAGGAGUGAAAAAAUAAUUCUACAACACCGGAGGGGAAAGAGCUGCUGACAGAGGAGAAACUUUAUGAAACUCAGUUUGUAAGGUUCUGACAUCCAAAUGUAAGUAACACAGAGCAAUAUAAAAUGAAAUUCUUCCAUGCUGAUGGCCUGCACUCCUGUCGAAGAAAAUCUCAGGCUAAAAACCAUAUAACCAAUGAGAUGUGAUCCCCAGCGUUUGGCGCUGAGAUUCUUCAGGACAAGGCCUUGAUGCCAUGAAGAUGGUGCUGUGAGGAAAAACACGGUGACACAGUCAGCCACGGAUGUGGAGGUCACCAAGCACGCAAUCAGGUGGUUCAACCUGGCGGCGGAUCGGGCAGCGAGGAGACGUGUCCCGCCUCCAUCCACACAAAUGGAAAAAUAAGCAAUAAAUAACCUUUUUAUUGAACUUCUUGUCGUUCGCCAGUUAUUCAUUUUCUGAUAUUUUAGCUGUGCAUUUCAUUGAAGGUGUAGCCUAAUAGAUAAAAUAUUUUAUGUUUACACCGACCUAGGCCUAUAAAGCACUAAAUUAGGUUUUGACCACAAAAUGAAUGUAGAGUAGCCUCGCCAACGUAGGCUACUUAACAAAAACAGAAUAGGCUAUAACCAAUAACUUAACAUAAAUAU